GGGGGUUUUGUCUUUUCAUUACGGGUGGCCGGGUGAGUACACGUGGGUAACCUGCCUCAUAGAGGGGAAUAGCCUUCCGAAAGGAAGAUUAAUACCGCAUAAUGUAGUACCUUCGCAUGAAGGAACUAUCAAAAGAGCAAUCUGCUAUGAGAUGGACCCGCGGCGCAUUAGCUAGUUGGUGAGGUAACGGCUCACCAAGGCGACGAUGCGUAGCCGACCUGAGAGGGUGAUCGGCCACAUUGGAACUGAGACACGGUCCAGACUCCUACGGGAGGCAGCAGUGGGGAAUAUUGCGCAAUGGGGGAAACCCUGACGCAGCAACGCCGCGUGAAUGAAGAAGGCCUUCGGGUUGUAAAGUUCUGUCUUAUGGGAAGAUAAUGACGGUACCAUAGGAGGAAGCCACGGCUAACUACGUGCCAGCAGCCGCGGUAAUACGUAGGUGGCAAGCGUUGUCCGGAUUUACUGGGCGUAAAGGAUGCGUAGGCGGAUAUUUAAGUGGGAUGUGAAAUACCUGAGCUCAACUCGGGUGCUGCAUUCCAAACUGGAUAUCUAGAGUGUCGGAGGGGGAAAGCGUGAAUUCCAUGUGUAGCGGUGCAAAUGCGUAUAGAGUUAAGAAUGAACACCAUUGCCCGAA
rnacentral:rRNA from 1 species